UCGAACCGCCAUCUUCCUGUCACACUCUGGUUUUGUUUCUGGGCUUCUUUUUUGACCUGUUCAGCUCUUUUUGUUCUAGUGAUGUUGGUGAUGGUGUGCUGUUUAUCUGUCUUUGCUGCUGUUCAAUCUCUGACUCCAUUCUUUGGAUCAAAGCAGAAGCUGUGAUGAUAACAAGACAAGGCACCAAAGAGAUGAGGCUCAUUCAAUAUUUAAUACAAAUGUCUUUUGCUAGUUGAUUGGAUAUAAAACUGCAAUGUUUCCCCCAGAAGACUUGCUAAGCCUGGUGGAUGGGGAAAUAUGAAAAUAUCACUUGAUAAUUAUGUGUCAUUGAAAGAUUAGCAGAUUAACACCUGAACACCAACUAUAAAGUCUUAAAAAAUGCUAACAUUUUAAAAAGACUUAAAUAAAUAAGUAAUACUUAACCUGGUGGCCCACCAGGCUUAUAAUACACUGGGGGAAACACUGAAAAUGGAAGAAUAAAUAAAUAUGUUAACAUAGUAUGCUGCAAUAAAUGAUCCAAACCUAAUAAAUUAUUUUGGGAUUAGUUAAUGUCGUAAUUUUGUCCCCUUACUCCCUGUGGACCUAUGGAGCGGACUGUUCUCUAACAUUUCAAGGAGAAUAAAAUUCAAAUUAUUUAACAUCUA